rnacentral:tRNA from 1 species
GCCUGGCUGGCUCAGUUAAUAGAGCAUCCGACUCUUGAUCUCAGGGUUGUGAGUUCGAGCCCCACAUUAGGCA